AUUGAACGCUGGCGGCAGGCUUAACACAUGCAAGUCGAACGAGUGGCGGACGGGUGAGUAAUGCUUGGGAAUCUAGCUUAUGGAGGGGGAUAACUACGGGAAACUGUAGCUAAUACCGCGUACCAUCGGAUGUUCCCAGAUGGGAUUAGCUAGUAGGUGGGGUAACGGGUCACCUAGGCGACGAUCCCUAGCUGGUCUGAGAGGAUGACCAGGCAGACUGGAACGGAGACACGGUGCAGACGGCUAAGGGAGGCAGAAGUGGGGAAUAUGGGACAAUGGGCGAAAGCCUGAUGCAGCCAUGCCGCGUGUAUGAAGAAGGCCAGCGGGUUGUAAAGUACUUUAAGCGAGGAGGCGUUACUCGCAGAAGAAGCACCGGCUAACUCCGUGCCAGCAGCCGCGGUAAUAC
rnacentral:rRNA from 1 species